rnacentral:lncRNA from 1 species
AGGGUCAUCAGUGAGAAGCCUAAAUUUCCUGGGGUUUUUGCUUCUGGCGAAUUUACAUCCAUUGAAAUACAUACUCCAUGAACAGCCAAAUGAGAACGAUGCUCCACAUGUUUCUGGAUCAAGUCCCUGACAUGCACAUGUACGGUCUUCAUUCAGUGCACAUCUGCGGCUCGUGGGACAGCCGUAUUUUCUGAGGCUCUGCGUCAGCUCUUUGUACAGCGUAUCAGCCAGGAGAUGAGGGAUCCCCUCCCACGCCAGUAUGAGAAUCACUAUGACAGCAGUCUGACAGUGGUGUCCCGCACGCUGACGUACCAAGCAUAGCAACUUCUCCUCAUCACUACUUCUUCGUAUCACCCACUUGGCAAUCGGACACCCCUGAGAGCUUUUUCCUUCCUUUCCUGUAUAAACGACUACCUCUAUUCUCACAGCGCUUCCUUUUGCUCCAUACCUGUUCUCCAUUAUUUCUC